AUUGAACGCUGGCGGCAUGCCUUACACAUGCAAGUCGAACGGUAACAGGUCUUCGGAUGCUGACGAGUGGCGAACGGGUGAGUAAUACAUCGGAACGUGCCCGAUCGUGGGGGAUAACGAGGCGAAAGCUUUGCUAAUACCGCAUACGAUCUACGGAUGAAAGCGGGGGAUCUUCGGACCUCGCGCGGACGGAGCGGCCGAUGGCAGAUUAGGUAGUUGGUGGGAUAAAAGCUUACCAAGCCGACGAUCUGUAGCUGGUCUGAGAGGAUGAUCAGCCACACUGGGACUGAGACACGGCCCAGACUCCUACGGGAGGCAGCAGUGGGGAAUUUUGGACAAUGGGCGAAAGCCUGAUCCAGUCAUGCCGCGUGCAGGAUGAAGGCCUUCGGGUUGUAAACUGCUUUUGUACGGAACGAAAAGCCUCUUUCUAAUAAAGAGGGGUCAUGACGGUACCGUAAGAAUAAGCACCGGCUAACUACGUG
rnacentral:rRNA from 1 species